rnacentral:rRNA from 1 species
AACGAACGUUAGCGGCGCGCCUAACACAUGCAAGUCGCACGAGAAAGGGCUUCGGCCCCGGUACAGUGGCGCACGGGUGAGUAACACGUGGGUAAUCUGCCUUCGAGCGGGGGAUAACAUUCCGAAAGGAGUGCUAAUACCGCAUAAGACCACGGCGUCGAAAGAAGCAGCGGUCAAAGCUGGCCUCUAUACAUAAGCUAGCACUCGAGGAUGAGCCCGCGGCGCAUCAGCUAGUUGGAGAGGUAAUGGCUCACCAAGGCGAAGACGCGUAGCUGGUCUGAGAGGAUGAUCAGCCACACUGGAACUGAGACACGGUCCAGACUCCUACGGGAGGCAGCAGUGGGGAAUCUUGCGCAAUGGGCGAAAGCCUGACGCAGCGACGCCGCGUGAGUGAUGAAGGCCUUCGGGUUGUAAAGCUCUGUGGGGAGAGACGAAUAAGUGCGGGCUAAUACUCCGCAUGAUGACGGUAUCUCCUUAGCAAGCACCGGCUAACUCUGUGCCAGCAGCCGCGGUAAAAC